GGGUGGUUAGCUCAGCUGGCUAGAGCGUCGCAUUGACAUUGCGGAGGUCAUAGGUUCAAGUCCUAUACUACCCACCA
rnacentral:tRNA from 2 species